rnacentral:rRNA from 1 species
GAUGAACGCUGGCGGCGUGCCUAAUACAUGCAAGUCGAGCGAACGGACGAGAAGCUUGCUUCUCUGAUGUUAGCGGCGGACGGGUGAGUAACACGUGGAUAACCUACCUAUAAGACUGGGAUAACUUCGGGAAACCGUAGCUAAUACCGGAUAAUAUUUUGAACCGCAUGGUUCAAAAGUGAAAGACGGUCUUGCUGUCACUUAUAGAUGGAUCCGCGCUGCAUUAGCUAGUUGGUAAGGUAACGGCUUACCAAGGCAACGAUGCAUAGCCGACCUGAGAGGGUGAUCGGCCACACUGGAACUGAGACACGGUCCAGACUCCUACGGGAGGCAGCAGGAGGGAAUCUUCCGCAAUGGGCGAAAGCCUGACGGAGCAACGCCGCGUGAGUGAUGAAGGUCUUCGGAUCGUAAAACUCUGUUAUUAGGGAAGAACAUAUGUGUAAGUAACUGUGCACAUCUGGACGGUACCUAAUCAGAAAGCCACGGCUAACUACGU